rnacentral:ncRNA from 1 species
GUACGAUAAAAGCAAACCCGUUGAAAGGCGGGGACGCAAAGCUAAUAGGGGCUAAAGGAUUUGCCAAAAUGCAAAUACUCAUGCCAGCCAGCUGCCGAA